GACUGCCCUCUCCCGGAAUCCUGCUGGAAAGGGGACGGGUUUCGCAGGGAAAGAGGGCGUGGCCACGCAUGCGCUCCCAAGAGGCCGCCUCGUGUGUGCACUGCCUGGCUUUUCGAAGUAGCACGUGGGCUUUGAGACUUAGGCCUCAUAUCUCAACAGUACUGAAUGUCCCGGUCAUUCAGUCGUUAGUCCUUCUGUCCCUGUCGGGUUUCAGCCCCAGUCUUGAGUGCCAGAGGCAAAGUAAUACAAAUAAAGCCCUUAUUCUCAACGCGCUGUUCCUGGGAGAAAAGCCACCUGCAGGAGUCCUGCACAGGAGACCUCUGUUUUGUGACAUCCCCUGGGCGGACAGUCCAGUCUGGGUGGUGUUAUGGAUCUUGACACUGCUUGAAAGCUGUACUUUGUUGCUGACAUAAGGGAAAGGUAACUUUCUGGGUGGCACUUAGGCCUGUUUCCGCUCUCUGAGCGACCUUCAGUUCUGAGUCGUGAUCAGAUCUCCUCUGAGUCGUGAUCAGAUCUCUGUUUAAUGAGCUCGAGCCUCCAAAGGACUUAGAAAGCCAGCAAUAAUUAAUGAUGAAGUGCAAUGUCUUCCUGUAAGACCUUCUGCCUGGACUUCAUUGAAGAAUAAUGGCAUCCUCCUCUUUCUUCAUCCCUUAACGCAGGAGCCCAGCGAGUGUCCACGUGCACCGAGGAGUCACUUGUCCGCUGACAGACAUGCCUUUGCAGUAAAUGCCAAGGCAUAAAUGCUUCCAUCCCAUAAGCAAGAGGGAGACCUGGAAAUAGCCAGAGACCUAGGUGUGAAGUCCAGGCUGUUCUGUUGGUAACAGAAAAGCAUCUCUGCAUCUCCUUCUUAAUUAAUGUCCCUCCUUGUUAUAGAAAUAAAUCUUAUGCUUGUGUGAAACUCAUACUGUAGAGGAGUCCUCCUGCCCUUACCCUGGCUUUAACUCCUUCCCACACAAAGUAACCUACUUCAUUUGCAAUCUAGGAGGGGAGAUCCUUCCGUUUUCCUAUAUUCCUCAAUUAAGUACAGUAUGCAUCAGGCAGCAGAUUUUCUGUACCAAUGAAGUUAUACUUUGCACAUUGUUCUAGAAAACACAUCACACUAUGAGAUGGUUAUCUCACUUGUCACUUGUCUGUGUCUUUAAACAAUUUAAAGUAAAACGCUUGUGGUUCAUCUUUACCUCUCACAAACAAUAGAAAAUAAAAUGCUACACAUGGUGUC
rnacentral:lncRNA from 1 species